GACGAACGCUGGCGGCGUGCCUAAUACAUGCAAGUCGAGCGGACCGGAUUGGGGCUUGCCUUGAUUCGGUCAGCGGCGGACGGGUGAGUAACACGUGGGCAACCUGCCCGCAAGACCGGGAUAACUCCGGGAAACCGGAGCUAAUACCGGAUAACACCGAAGACCGCAUGGUCUUCGGUUGAAAGGCGGCCUUUGGGCUGUCACUUGCGGAUGGGCCCGCGGCGCAUUAGCUAGUUGGUGAGGUAACGGCUCACCAAGGCGACGAGGCGUAGCCGGCCUGAGAGGGUGACCGGCCACACUGGGACUGAGACACGGCCCAGACCCCUACGGGAGGCAGCAGUAGGGAAUCUUCCGCAAUAGGCGAAAGCCUGACGGAGCGACGCCGCGUGAGCGAAGAAGGCCUUCGGGUCGUAAAGCUCUGUUGUGAGGGACGAAGGAGCGUCGUUCGAAGAGGGCGGCGCGGUGACGGUACCUCACGAGAAAGCCCCGGCUAACUACGUG
rnacentral:rRNA from 1 species